AUAUAACAUUGACCUACCUUUUAGGUAAGCUUCGUACGGUUGAACCUCAUUGCCUAAUAAAGGUGAUUUGCAGCAUUAACUGCAUAUUGGCUUCCCCUAAGAUCAAGAAGAAGUUAGUUUCAAAAAAACAAGGAAAUGUCAAUGUAUACCGUUUAGUUUCCCGCAAAUAGUGAAUUUUGGUGAUUGUGUAGAGGUGUGGACCAUGCAUCAUUGAUUAAUUUUUCCAAUUAAUCAAACAUUGUUUACUUUGCUCGCACAUUUAAACCUGCUUUUGUGCUUGUGUCGACAAUCAGGAUGAUAUUUGGACGUUUGUGUUAACCUGCUUUUAUAAUAAGUUUUUUUCUAUCCUAGUAUUUUUUUUAAAUUUUUAUUGCUCUUUUUAUUAAAGUAGAUGCAAUAUAAUAACAAUUCAAAAGGUAAUAAAAUCUAAGACACUGGUUGUUGAUUAUAUGACAUACCUUGUUCCCUUUUUGCUGAGAUUUUGUUGCUUGGAGCUAGACACUGGUUGUUGAGGUUCAUCACUUAGAGAAUGCAUGUAGUUGGUUCUCAAACAAAUGUUAAGGUCACACCAACUCAGGGACAGAAUUUUAAUAUAACAUUGACCUACCUUUUAGGUAAGCUUCGUACGGUUGAACCUCAUUGCCUAACAAAGGUGAUUUGCAGCAUUAACUGCGUAUUGGCUUCCCC